ensembl:snRNA U4 U4 spliceosomal RNA
AGCUUUGUGCAGUGGCAGUAUCGUAGCCAAUGAGGUUUAUCUGAGGCGCGAUUAUUGCUAACUGAAUAAAUGUAGAAACGUGCUUUGUUCCCAGCUGGAAUGGCUCCACAUAAACCCCAGUUCUUACUAAAUUAACUUCCAAAUU